UCUCGGCGGGGGGGGCUCGGUGUGGCCGGUGAAAAUAUGAGGGGCGUGGAUUUAAUAUAGAAGACAUCCUGGUCAUAGCGGUGACAGAUAAAGUGUUGACAAGUGUUACUCUGCCUUGAUUAAUUAAGUCAAGCUCUCCUCGGGCUUAAAAGAGGAAGGCGCAUGAAAGGCAAACCGUUCUAAUCGCUUUGCACUUUCACGUCAGCUUUGAUUGGUUGUAGAAAUCGAACAGUGAAGUCUUGUGACACCAGCCUCACUUCUGAGGCAGAUCCUUCCAAUAGUCCUUGAAUCCGCUGUGUUAAAAAACAAUCUCAAUUUAAGUUUGCUUGUAAUUCAUUUUUUUAAUUGCUUCAUAAUCAGAUGAUACGGGUGAUGAGUGUGGCGGAGUGAAUAUCCUGACACUAUGAUGUUGACUUGCGUGCAUUCUGGCAUGUUGGUUGAAGUGCACAAGUAAUCAGGAGAUUUCCUGUCAGCCAUGCUCUGCCCUCUUGUGAUGGCAGAGCAUAUUCUCUGUUUUCAUUUCACUUUUUGUUUUUCAUUGAUUUAGUAUUGACGUUUAGCUCAAAGAAUCAAACGGUUGUUUUGCCCUCUGGUCUGUCAUUUUUAGUUAGUGUGCCAGAACUUCAGGUUACUAUAGAAACCUCAACUUUCCCCUCCGAUGUAGGAAUGAGGUUUAGACACGUGGAGGCGCUGUGGAACAAGAAACACCAAGAGGCGCCAUAGCCCCCAGAGUUUGUCCCUACUCCUCCGGCGUUGUCCUGUACCAGCCCCGGCGUUGGUGACGUCACCAACAAAACCGGCAAUCAAGAUGACCAAAAUACACCGGAAAAAAAUACUUUACAAAAUUAUAGUUUAUUUUCAAUGUUAUUAAAACUGUGUUCAAUCAGACAAAAUGUAUGUAAACAGCAUAAAAAUAAAAUAAAAACCGUGUCUGUAAUCUGUAUCGACAGUACUUUUUGUGGUACCGAUUUGUUUUUCUACCACUAUUGCUGAUAAUGUCUAGAAUCUAGACACAGAAUCUGGAUGCUCUUUCGUGAGUCCUUCACUUGUAACAUCCGGUAGUUCCACUAUAUCACCGUUUUUAUUAACGGAAUUUUGAGCCCUUCCCAAACUAUUUUUUGACAGUAAGAAAUUAAAUGAAUAGUCUCUGUCAUAUGGUGAUGGGAAACAGAAAAGUGCAACAGUCUAUAGCAAUAUAACAGGUAAUGGGGUAUCCUGCAUAGUUAGUACUUUUGCUACUUUUUUUUGAUAAUAAUGAUAAUAACAUCGACAAAGCCAUUUCUAUUUUUGUAAAGAAUCUCAGCUCUUCCUCUAUCGCCCGAUAGUCACGGUCUGAUUUCCAAAUGCAGUCUUACUUUGAAAUCUCCCGGCGGAAGUGGACCGCACAUCCGGUCUAGCUUGACGCCAGUGAUUGAGGUGGAGGCAGUCAGCCUGCGACAGGAAAAACUAAACGCGGAGAGGUCGAGCGGCACACAGUCGGUCUGUUUUAAAAGAGAAAUAAAUCGUGUGACCCGGGGACAUGUGGAAGCAGACCGCCAUCGCGUCGUCCUAACGCGGGCUCA
ensembl:lncRNA